UACGUAGGGGGCUAGCGUUGUCCGGAAUCACUGGGCGUAAAGGGCGCGUAGGUGGCGGGCCAAGUCCAUGGUGAAAGCUCGAUGCUCAACAUCGAGUCGGCCACGGAUACUGGUUUGCUGGAGCACUGUAGAGGCAGAUGGAAUUCCGGGUGUAGCGGUGGAAUGCGUAGAGAUCCGGAAGAACACCGGUGGCGAAGGCGGUCUGCUGGGCAGUUGCUGACACUGAGGCGCGACAGCGUGGGGAGCAAACAGG
rnacentral:rRNA from 1 species